UGAGGAAUAUUGGUCAAUGGGCGCAAGCCUGAACCAGCCAUGCCGCGUGCAGGAAGACGGCUCUAUGAGUUGUAAACUGCUUUUGUACGAGGGUAAAGGACGCUACGAGUAGUGUUUUGAAAGUAUCGUACGAAUAAGGAUCGGCUAACUCCGUGCCAGCAGCCGCGGUAAUACGGAGGAUUCGAGCGUUAUCCGGAUUUAUUGGGUUUAAAGGGUGCGUAGGUGGGACUUUAAGUUAGUCGUUAAAUCGUGGGGCUUAACCUCGCAGUGGCGAUUAAUACUGGAGACCUAGAGAGUAGUUGCUGUGGGCGGAAUGAGUAGUGUAGCGGUGAAAUGCUUAGAUAUUACUCAGAACACCAAUUGCGAAGGCAGCUCACAAAGCUAUAUCUGACACUGAGGCACGAAAGCGUGGGGAUCAAACA
rnacentral:rRNA from 1 species